AACGAACGCUGGCGGCAUGCCUAACACAUGCGAGUCGAACGAGACCUUCGGGUCUAGUGGCGCACGGGUGCGUAACGCGUGGGAACCUGCCCUUAGGUUCGGAAUAACUCCCCGAAAGGGGUGCUAAUACCGGAUAAUGUCUUCGGACCAAAGAUUUAUCGCCUUUGGAUGGGCCCGCGUUGGAUUAGCUAGUUGGUAGGGUAAAAGCCUACCAAGGCGACGAUCCAUAGCUGGUCUGAGAGGAUGAUCAGCCACACUGGGACUGAGACACGGCCCAGACUCCUACGGGAGGCAGCAGUGGGGAAUAUUGGACAAUGGGCGAAAGCCUGAUCCAGCAAUGCCGCGUGAGUGACGAAGGCCUUAGGGUUGUAAAGCUCUUUUACCCGGGAUGAUAAUGACAGUACCGGGAGAAUAAGCUCCGGCUAACUCCGUG
rnacentral:rRNA from 1 species